ensembl:lncRNA
AAUCACACACGGGAAAUUCAGUCAUCCAUCAACAUGAUCAAGAUUGCCGUACUAGUAAUCAUCAUGGACAUCGCACAAAGUAUAGACUCCAGAAACAACAUAUUCUUAGAGCUGAUGAAUAUGUCAAGAAACUCCUUGUUUGCUGGAAAGAACGUUUGCAUGCCACAUCCACCUUCGGUAGGACCAGGAAUCCCAUGGGUAGCACACCCCAUUUCUGACUAUGAUACCUGCACUCUAUUUGGUGUUGUCACUAAUGGAAUUUUUAACCAAAGCACAUGUCAUAAUGUGACUGCUCCUCAAGCCUCACCAUGUUGCACUCCAGGUUUAAGGUCCUGCAAUUUGACGUCAACCACACCUGUUAUGACAGACUUACUCUUACCAAUGACAUUUAGUUGGGGUGUUGAACAGCUAUCCUUAGACUCUAAAGAUUUGGGAAAAAUUCCCAGUGCUGCAUGUGGUUUCAUAAUUAAAAUGGGAAUGUCACUGAAGACAGAAAUUUCAUCAUCCACACGACAAAAGAAUGAGGAUGUGGAAGUAUGUAUUAGGCAAACUCGAUCAUUCCCUAAGCUAUUUAAUGUGAACCAAUGGUGCAGGAUGCCCCCUCCAACAGGCAUGUUUUGGCUAUGCGGAACCUCAAUCUAUAGUGUGCUACCGGUAAAAUUGAAUGACAAGUGCACCUUAGUCUAUGCCCUACCUGCAGUUAGAGAAAAUUUGAAAUCCACUCCAGUCCUAACAACAGAUGACAUCACCUUUCAAAAUAUUCCACGUUUAAGGGAUUCAGCUCCUACCACGAACACAGAAGAUCGCUGCAUUCCAGGACUCACUUGUGCACAAACAUGGUGGUCAAGAACUCUUGGAACAUUAAUCCCGUUUUAUGAUGUCAUGCAAGCCCUGGAUCCUUGAAGUUAGAAGCUUAUCGAAUUCUGUACAGAAACUAGCCAAUGAUAUGGCUUUGGCCCUGGGUAACAUCACGAACACUCUCGCUUCACACAAAAUAAUGAUCUUACAGAACAGAGUGGCCUUGGAUUACAUUCUUGUAAUGCAAGGGGGAGCAUGCACCAUUAUUGGACCUGGGUGCUGCACCGGGUUACUGGAUCCAACAGAGAACUUGAACAAAA